ACUCAAAGGAAUAGACGGGGGCCCGCACAAGCGGCGGAGCAUGUUGCUUAAUUCGACGCAACGCGAAGAACCUUACCAAGGUUUGACAUGCAGGGAAAAGCCCCAGAGAUGGGGUGUCCGUAAGGGUCCUGCACAGGUGGUGCAUGGCUGUCGUCAGCUCGUGUCGUGAGAUGUUGGGUUAAGUCCCGCAACGAGCGCAACCCUCGUCCUAUGUUGCCAGCGGAUAAUGCCGGGGACUCAUAGGAGACUGCCGGGGUCAACUCGGAGGAAGGUGGGGAUGACGUCAAGUCCUCAUGCCCCUUAUGUCUUGGGCUGCAAACAUGCUACAAUGGCCAGUACAAAGGGUUGCAAGACCGCAAGGUGGAGCGAAUCCCAAAAAGCUGGUCUCAGUUCGGAUUGGGGUCUGCAACUCGACCCCAUGAAGUCGGAGUCGCUAGUAAUCGCAGAUCAGCAACGCUGCGGUGAAUACGUUCCCGGGCCUUGUACACACCGCCCGU
rnacentral:rRNA from 1 species